rnacentral:rRNA from 1 species
UACAGAGGAGCCAAGCGUUGUCCGGAUUGACUGGGCGUAAAGCGCACGCAGGCGGACGCGCGCGUGGGGUGUGAAAUCUGGCCGCUUAACGGCCAGGCGCCAUCCCAUACGGCGCGUCUGGAGCAAUGCAGAGGUCGGUGGAAUUGCCGGUGUAGUGGUGAAAUGCGUAGAGAUCGGCAGGAACACCCAGGGGGAAACCAGCCGAC